rnacentral:rRNA from 1 species
AUUGAACGCUGGCGGCAGGCCUAACACAUGCAAGUCGAGCGGAUGCGUGGAGCUUGCUGCAUGAUUCAGCGGCGGACGGGUGAGUAAUGCCUAGGCAUCUGCCUGGUAGUGGGGACAACGUUUCGAAAGGAACGCUAAUACCGCAUACGUCCGACGGGAGAAAGCAGGGGACCUUCGGGCCUUGCGCUAUCAGAUGAGCCUAGGUCGGAUUAGCUAGUAGGUGAGGUAAUGGCUCACCUAGGCGACGAUCCGUAACUGGUCUGAGAGGAUGAUCAGGCACACUGGAACGGAGACACGGUCCAGACUCCGACGGGAGGCAGCAGUGGGGAAUAUUGGACAAUGGGCGAAAGCCUGAUCCAGCCAUGCCGCGUGUGUGAAGAAGGUCUUCGGAUUGUAAAGCACUUUAAGUUGGGAGGAAGGGCAGUAAGUUAAUACCUUGCUUUUUUGACGUUACCAACAGAAUAAGCACCGGCUAACUUCGUGCCAGCCGCCGCCGUAAAAC